rnacentral:rRNA from 1 species
UACGUAGGGGGCAAGCGUUGUCCGGAUUUAUUGGGCGUAAAGAGCGUGUAGGCGGCCAGACAGGUCAGCUGUGAAAACUCGAGGCUCAACCUCGAGACGUCGGUUGAAACCGUCUGGCUAGAGUCCGGAAGAGGAGAGUGGAAUUCCCGGUGUAGCGGUGAAAUGCGCAGAUAUCGGGAAGAAUACCCGUGGCGAAGGCGGCUCUCUGGGACGGUACUGACGCUGAGACGCGAAAGCGUGGGGAGCGAACAGG